rnacentral:rRNA from 1 species
UACAGAGGGUGCGAGCGUUGUUCGGAAUUACUGGGCGUAAAGCGCGCGCAGGCGGCUUUUUAAGUCCGACGGUGAAAUGCCGGGGCUCAACCCCGUGCCUGCCGCGGAUACUGGGAAGCUGGAGACAUGUAGAGGCAAGCGGAAUUCCGGGUGUAGCGGUGGAAUGCGUAGAGAUCCGGAAGAACACCGGAGGCGAAGGCGGCUUGCUGGGCAUGGUCUGACGCUGAGGCGCGAAAGCGUGGGGAGCGAACAGG